rnacentral:rRNA from 1 species
GACGAACGCUGGCGGCGUGCCUAAUACAUGCAAGUAGAACGCUGAAGGAGGAGCUUGCUUCUCCGGAUGAGUUGCGAACGGGUGAGUAACGCGUAGGUAACCUGCCUGGUAGCGGGGGAUAACUAUUGGAAACGAUAGCUAAUACCGCAUAACAGUAGAUGUUGCAUGACAUUUGCUUAAAAGGUGCAAUUGCAUCACUACCAGAUGGACCUGCGUUGUAUUAGCUAGUUGGUGAGGUAACGGCUCACCAAGGCGACGAUACAUAGCCGACCUGAGAGGGGGAUCGGCCACACUGGGACUGAGACACGGCCCAGACUCCUACGGGAGGCAGCAGGAGGGAAUCUUCGGCAAUAGACGGAAGUCUGACCGAGCAACGCCGCGUGAGUGAAGAAGGGUUUCGGAUCGUAAAGCUCUGUUGUAAGAGAAGAACGAGUGUGAGAGUGGAAAGUUCACACUGUGACGGUAUCUUACCAGAAAGGGACGGCUAACUACGUG